rnacentral:tRNA from 1 species
GCGGGUUAGCUCAGCUGGUUAGAGCGUCCGCCUCACACGCGGAAGGUCACAGAUUCGAGUUCUGUUA